AUUUAUAUAGUUUAAAUAAAACAUUACAUUUUCACUGUAAAAAUAAUAUUUAUAUAUUUAUAAAUA
rnacentral:tRNA from 4 species